rnacentral:rRNA from 1 species
AACGAACGCUGGCGGCAGGCCUAACACAUGCAAGUCGAGCGAGGACUUCGGUCCUAGCGGCGGACGGGUGAGUAACGCGUGGGAACGUGCCCUUUGGUACGGAAUAGCCCCGGGAAACUGGGAGUAAUACCGUAUGGUGUCUUCGGACUAAAGAUUUAUCGCCAAAGGAUCGGCCCGCGUUGGAUUAGGUAGUUGGUGGGGUAAUGGCCUACCAAGCCGACGAUCCAUAGCUGGUUUGAGAGGAUGAUCAGCCACACUGGGACUGAGACACGGCCCAGACUCCUACGGGAGGCAGCAGUGGGGAAUCUUAGACAAUGGGGGCAACCCUGAUCUAGCCAUGCCGCGUGAGUGAUGAAGGCCCUAGGGUUGUAAAGCUCUUUCAGCUGGGAAGAUAAUGACGGUACCAGCAGAAGAAGCCCCGGCUAACUCCGUGCCAGCAGCCGCGGUAAUG